GAUGAAGAACGUAGCGAAAUGCGAUAAGUAAUGUGAAUUGCAGAAUUCAGUGAAUCAUCGAAUCUUUGAACGCACAUUGCGCCCGCCGGUAUUCUGGCGGGCAUGCCUGUUCGAGCGUCAUUUCAACCAUCAAGCCCCCGGCUUGUGUUGGGGACCUGCGGCUGCCGCAGGCCCUGAAAACCAGUGGCGGGCUCGCUAGUCACUCCGAGCGUAGUAAUACAUCUCGCUCAGGGCGUGCUGCGGGUUCCGGCCGUUAAAAAGCCUUAUUUACCCAAGGUUGACCUCGGAUCAGGUAGGAAGACCCGCUGAACUUAAGCAUAUCAAUAAGCGGAGGA
rnacentral:misc_RNA from 1 species